UACGUAGGUGGCAAGCGUUUGUCCGGAUUUAUUGGGUUUAAAGGGUGCGUAGGUGGCCCUGUAAGUCAGUGGUGAAAUAUCUCAGCUUAACUGAGAGGGUGCCAUUGAUACUGCAGGGCUUGAGUACAGAUGAGGUAGGCGGAAUUGACGGUGUAGCGGUGAAAUGCAUAGAUAUCGUCAAGAACACCGAUAGCGAAGGCAGCUUACCAAGCUGUAACUGACACUGAGGCACGAAAAGUGUGGGGGAUCAAACAGG
rnacentral:rRNA from 1 species